CCUUUAUGAGGUGCAACCAAAACAGCUGUUUGACAUAGCAACAGGGAUAUUCGGUCAAGGUGUCUCUCUAGCAUUUGUUCUUAAUACCGUUGUGGUUUUGAUCACUAAAAUGGCUGUGACUUUUGGACUCUCGUUGAGUGUUUCUUGGAUUUGCUGCCUGCUAAUUGGAGGGAUAACUUGUUUUACACUUAAAGGUAAUUCUAAUGGGCAUCAUGCCUACACUGGACCUGAACCAACUGGAUCCUAUGCCAAAGCAAGUGUGGUGCCUAGUCCAAAUGCUAAAGCUACUGGCCACAAUGCCACGUCAGCAGAAGCUACUGGCCACAAUGCCACGUCAGCAGAAGCUACUGGCCACAAUGCCACGCCAGCAGAAUCUACUGGCCACAAUGCCCCGUCAACAGAAGCUACUGGCCACAAUGCCACGUCAGCAGAAGCUAUUGGCCACAAUGCCCUGG
rnacentral:lncRNA from 1 species